rnacentral:rRNA from 1 species
AUUGAACGCUGGCGGCAUGCCUUACACAUGCAAGUCGAACGGUAACAGGUCUUCGGAUGCUGACGAGUGGCGAACGGGUGAGUAAUACAUCGGAACGUGCCCAGUAGUGGGGGAUAACUACUCGAAAGAGUGGCUAAUACCGCAUGAGAUCUACGGAUGAAAGCAGGGGAUCGCAAGACCUUGUGCUACUAGAGCGGCCGAUGGCAGAUUAGGUAGUUGGGUGGAUAAAAGCUUACCAAGCCGACGAUCUGUAGCUGGUCUGAGAGGACGAUCAGCCACACUGGGACUUGGACACGGCCCAGACUCCUACGGGAGGCAGCAGUGGGGAAUUUUGGACAAUGGGCGCAAGCCUGAUCCAGCAAUGCCGCGUGCAGGAUGAAGGCCUUCGGGUUGUAAACUGCUUUUGUACGGAACGAAAAGCCCCGGGUUAAUACCCUGGGGUCAUGACGGUACCGUAAGAAUAAGCACCGGCUAACUACGUGCCAGCCGCCGCGGUAA